GGUAGGGUGGCUCAAGUGGUAAGAGCUCCUGCCUAGCAAGCAGGAGGUCCUGAGUUCAAAUCCCAGUGCCACCA